GCUACGGGAUCGUCCGAUGGUCAUCACGUGACGUCGAGCUUGACAGCUACGAGUCGUGAACUCAUCAUUCACAGGCCCACGUGCAGUUCAAAACCCGCCAGCUCCUGCUGUGAGGUUCUGAAGACGCGACGUCCUGUUUGUUUUCCCACAUCAAGAGAGCUCUUCGGUCGGAGGUCGCUCGGAGAACCGGAGGAACUUCCCUGUAAACAUUCGACGUGUGAACAUCGUGAAUGCAGAGAAGAAGGUCUCCCACUUUCUCACGCUGAAGCGUAUCAGUAUUCGUCGGGGCCUUCGAAAGCGGGACGAGAUGAGCGCCUCCAUAAUUCUGCUCUUGAAGUGGUGCGCAUUAGCAUUUAGUACUGACAGGCUGACUGAUCUCUUUCCCGUUCCGGUCGUGAUGACUGAUGCCUCUGCGGUCCUUGAAUGAAUGAGCUGAGAUGUUGUUCUUGGCCUGCUCGAGUGUUUGAAUAUGAGAGAUGAUCCUGAUUUAUCGGCCACUUGAUCCGUCAGCCAUUAUGGAGUGUGAGGUUAACGGAGGUCAACAUUCUUCCCACAUACCCGGAAAUUAAAAGCGAUCGUAACCUUUGCAUCAGUAGAGCGACUCUCUUAUCUCCUUCUUAAAGGGUCAUCGAGACGAAACAAGGACUGUCUUCUUCGAUGACUCUUUUAAUAAUCAAAUCUGUGCCAGAUAUCGUCAGUGUAAAUGCAGCCCUUUAUGCGCGGACUGACGGCAGACCUCGGGCCCUCGGCUCCAGAUGAACUGUGGGCUGUGAUCUGCGGCCCUGGCAGGACUUCAGCUCGCCCAUCUGAUUCUACACCUGCCAAACCCCACGGCCCCCAUCUGCCCUUUACAACAUGACCUCAUCGGCACGGCACGAGAGGGACGCGUGGCCUCUAAACCCCGUUCAAGCGUUUAAACAUCAACGGGCUGGAUUGGCUCUUGUGAUCUGACACCGACAGAGGACUUUAUCUGCAUCGCAGGUCAG